GAAUAAACUAUCUAGGCAUAUCGAUUUCUUCAUAUUUCGACUUCUAUGAAGUUUCUUUCUUUGCUACAGCUGAUAAAAAUCGUUUUUGCACGAUGCAUAUGUAGAAAGCCUAUUUUUUUUUUUUCGAGUAUUUAUUAGUGUAUUUGCUCUUUACCCCCCUCCUUUUUUUUUUUCUUUUACUUUUUUCUUUCUAUAGUAGAGAUAGUCGCACGUAAUGACAGAUCACAGCCAUAUUAUUAAAAGCUUGUGGUAAGAACGGAUUUCGUUCUAGUGCCCGAAAAUAAUAUUCUAAAGCUUUUGUAUGUUCUCCGUUACUUGUGUGGAUAAGGCCUAUGUUAUAGAGUAUAUAGCUUCGAUCGUAAGGAUCAAUUUCUAGUCGCAUAGCUUCAUAAUAAUUCUGUAAAGCUUCCGCAUAAUUGCCUUCAGAUUGAGCUGACAUCCGUUACGGUCGUCAUUCGAUUCAAAGAAUUCUCCGUUUCAAAACCGUACAUGAGAUGAAAAUCUCAUACGGCUCCUCCUUUAUGUGCAUUAUGAGAAUAAUCCAUGAAAUCAAAAAAGAUUGAAAUAUUCUCAUUAUGAACUAAGUGGGGCUAAUGUUUUUACAAGAAAUCUCUAGCCAACCUUCCUGCAAAAGCUUUUUUCUUAAUAUCACGCGUGUUGGUACUAGAUAAAACCGGAAACUCCAACAAUUUCUUUGUUCUCAACGCCCUUAAUUUACAGGAAUUAAUCACUUCAACAGUCUUCGAUGGUUAUACGGGUAUCCACAGUACGAACGAGAUGGAUGUUUGUUAUCCCAACCAUUCUUCUUAGUCCCGAUCCCGCUAAGGAAAGGGGGCAGCUUAUAACAAAGUUUUCGUGUUGCUGAUUCCUAGACGUAGCGCCUCUUCCCUAUGCCGCCUAUUGGUACUGGUGUAGUAGGGUUGACUUGCAAUACAGAACCCAUAGGUGUAACCUUUCGCUCAAUACUAGAAUCGACAAUUGAAGCAUCUGAGGCUGCAUUAAUCGGGGAUACACGACAGAAGGAAUGGUUUUAUCUAUAAACUUCACCUUCAACAAGCGUAGAUUUUUUCAAUAAUCUUUUUUUUUUUUUUUUCUAUCCCGAAUUGUCUUUCUUUCUUCUAAGACCGAAAGGGGUAAAUAAAAAACUAAUCAAAUCGCACCAUCUCUGUAAUAGGUAAAUGCCUCUUUUUCUCCUACAGUUGUCGGAAUUAUUCGUAAUAAUAUAUUGGCUACAAUCGAAAAGGUCUUAUCAAUAAAAUUUCCGUUUAUCCGCGAUCUAGGCAUAGGUAAAAAUCCAU
rnacentral:lncRNA from 1 species